GACGAACGCUGGCGGCGUGCUUAACACAUGCAAGUCGAACGGAAAGGCCCUGCUUUUGUGGGGUGCUCGAGUGGCGAACGGGUGAGUAACACGUGAGUAACCUGCCCUUGACUUUGGGAUAACUUCAGGAAACUGGGGCUAAUACCGGAUAGGAGCUCCUGCUGCAUGGUGGGGGUUGGAAAGUUUCGGCGGUUGGGGAUGGACUCGCGGCUUAUCAGCUUGUUGGUGGGGUAGUGGCCUACCAAGGCUUUGACGGGUAGCCGGCCUGAGAGGGUGACCGGCCACAUUGGGACUGGGAUACGGCCCAGACUCCUACGGGAGGCAGCAGUGGGGAAUAUUGCACAAUGGGCGGAAGCCUGAUGCAGCAACGCCGCGUGCGGGAUGACGGCCUUCGGGUUGUAAACCGCUUUCGCCUGUGACGAAGCGUGAGUGACGGUAAUGGGUAAAGAAGCACCGGCUAACUACGUG
rnacentral:rRNA from 1 species